ACUGUGACCUCAUUUUCAAAUCGAAAAACUCAGCCAGCGCAAAGCCCCAAAGGAAGCUCGAUCAACUUGGAUUUAAUAAAGUUACAAGCCCAGGGACCACCACAAGCAUAUGGAGUAAGGGGGCUUCUCCAGACUGAAAGUAGGGGUCUACGGUCCCCGGUCAGGAGUCCAAAUCCCCGGUUUCAGGUUGCCAUUGAAGCGGCAACAAUAAGUAAAUUAAAACUAGAGCUUGCUGCAUGCCGCACGCGCUUUGAAUACGUUUAAUGCGAGUAAAUUAAAAUGAAGCAUGGCGGAAUGAUUUUUACACUUGCCACCCCUUUGAGGAGUUGGGUUGUGAGCAGGAAUAGUUGGUUCGGGAUGAGGAUGGGGCACAGCCACAUCCACAUCCACUUGCCGUUCACGCAUCCGCACGCACAGCUGGCGGGGCAGCAGACUGGCGCCAAAAUUGUGGCUGACUUCACAGAUUUCUCGCGACGAUGACGAGCAGGCCAAAGCUGUGACUUCAAUUGCACACUGAAAACAAAUAGGAGAACUUCUAAUGCAGUAGUGGGCAGGACAGGAGGAUACACAGUCCAGGAGCAGGGACGAGGAAUUGCAACCCGGCUGGCUGGACGUUCGGGCUCGUUAAUGCCGCCAGAGCGCCGCAGGCCAGUGGCAUUCGUAGCAUGCGGCCCAUUGUGGCAGCUCCGGUUAUAUGGCUCCGUCUACGGCUCCGACUCCGGCCCAGUUCCAGCUCACCUCGCUGGAGGAGAUGUGGGAUGUGGCAGCCACUGUGACUGUGACUGUGACCCACUGGGCAUGUGUGGUUAUCCUGGCAACGCGCUGAUCCUUGGGGAGUCGACUACACGGAGUCCUGGCAAGUGUCGUUCGGGGGUUGCUCUCGGCUGUUUUGUUUUUACUUGUCGCCGCAUUAAAAAAUAGAGAAAAGCCAACAGCAAGUUGCUCCAUAUGGAAGCUUUGGCGCGACACAGCGCCAUGCCAGGACUCAGAACUCAGAACCCAGUACCAAGGACCCUUGUCAGGAUAAAACCCCCCCCCCAAACCCAGCGACCUCCGCUUGUGCCACCCCCCGCUGUUGAACUCUGCUCGUUUUCAUAAUCGGGCGGUAAUUGUACACCAAUUUGACUUAUGAAUAUAAAUUAACUGUGAAACGUGCGACAAAGACAUGUGCCACUACUA